GACAUCAUACACCUCAUCAAGGAAGAAUCAAUAACCAACAACGUAUGGCAACUGUAAAUGUGUACAAAACACACACACACACACACACACACACACACAUACACAUAGGGUAAAGACACUGUAAAUAAUGUACUGCCACUCCUCCGGUUCUGCAGGUGAUAGAUGCGUAUGGUGAAAUUCUACUUGAACUACAAGGGCUAGUCAACCCAAGUUUGGAAGAUUCAUCAUUCAUCUUUACAAGCACAUGUUUGAAAAUCAUUGAACAGUACCCCCCCCACAAGAGGAAUAAACUAAUUGAUGUACACAUCAAGGAGUAUCAAGGCCAGAGAUUCUUAAUCUUCCCAAUACACGACAACUUUCACUGGACAAUUGUUGUGUACGACGUGAAAGAGAAUGUAUGGAGGCAUUAUAACUCACUGCGCCCAAGAGAAGGCAUACAUGACCCACACAUUGACAAAGCACAAAUACUGAGGGACUACAUCACAGCUUUGGUGCACAACAUUGGACCGUCAUCACCAUUAUGGACCAAUUUAUCAAGCCAAAAUACUUCGAAAACAAUCAUAUCAGUGGACAUCUGUCCCCAGCAAGCAUCAAAUUCGGUGGAUUGUGGGCCUGCAGUUUGUUACAUCAUGAGGGCACAUGUAUAUCGUGAAGACAUUGUUGCCAGCCUAGAUCGCUUUGAAUGGUGUCAAAUAAGAGACUCAUUAGUACA